GAUCCUGGCUUAGGAUGAACGCUGGCGGCGUGCCUAACACAUGCAAGUCGAGCGAUUCUCUUCGGAGAAGAGCGGCGGACGGGUGAGUAACGCGUGGGUAACCUGCCUCAUACACAUGGAUAACAUACCGAAAGGUAUGCUAAUACAGGAUAACAUAAGAGAUUCACAUGGAUUUCUUAUCAAAGCUCCGGCGGUAUGAGAUGGACCCGCGUCUGAUUAGCUAGUUGGUAAGGUAACGGCUUACCAAGGCGACGAUCAGUAGCCGACCUGAGAGGGUGAUCGGCCACAUUGGAACUGAGACACGGUCCAAACUCCUACGGGAGGCAGCAGUGGGGAAUAUUGCACAAUGGGCGAAAGCCUGAUGCAGCAACGCCGCGUGAGUGAUGAAGGCUUUCGGGUCGUAAAACUCUGUCCUCAAGGAAGAUAAUGACGGUACUUGAGGAGGAAGCCCCGGCUAACUACGUGCCAGCCGCCGC
rnacentral:rRNA from 1 species